UGUCUUUGUUAUAUUUGAAUGUCACAAGUUAUUGUCUGGCUUGUAGGUUGCCAAAGUUUCGAUGGGAUGUUAUAUGGCUUCCUUUAGGUCCCUUGAGUGGAGCUGGGUUUUGCCUCUAUGUGGACACUCUUCUAAAUGAUUCAUCCGAGGAAGUAAAAAACUCAGAGGCUAUAUGUACGCUUACAAAGCCCGUUGACUCGAACUAUGAUCCGCAAAAGAGAUGAUUCGCAAUUUACAGUAGUCCAAGGUAGUCGACCUGAGAUUGUUGAAUUUGUUUAAUUAAAGGCACAAUUCCAAUAGAAAGUGUUGUUAGGAUCAUGUUUCACGUUUGAAAGACAAUUUUGUAUACUAUGUAGAUGGAAAUAAAGAGCGAGAGUUUGUUUCC